rnacentral:tRNA from 1 species
GCUGGGAUGGCGGAGUGGACAAUCGCAUCAGUCUGUAAAACUGACGCCCGACAGGGCUACCCAGGUUCGAAUCCUGGUCCCAGCA